AGGCCCACAGGCAAUUCAGAAAGCUCAGGAUCCUCACUGUGGACCCACUUUCCGCCUUAGUGAAUGUAAAUUUUUCUGUGUUCAACAAUCAACGACCAAGAGGCUUGUGAGCAGACCGUGCGUGCCCUGGCUCCUCCAGGCUGCUGAGCACGCCCCAUCACCUGAUGGAUGCUGGCUACGCUGGUUUCUCAACAGGCAAGAUCAACCUGACAGAUGCUCCCUGGACAGAGAUUUUCCUGCCAAAUGAUGGAAGCUCUGGCCUUUGGCCACUGUCUACUUCCUCCAGGGCCAUAGAGGAGGAGCCCUGUCCUGCAGGCUUAUUGACAGAGAAGUGCCUGAAGCAGCUGGCCCAGGGCCUUUCCAACCCAAAGGAUUUAUAAUUCUCUGAACCCAUUUCUCAUUGGACAAUAAAUACCAUUUUGCUAAGGCUCCCAAUGUAUCCAGAUUAUUCAUAUAUUCUAGCUAUUGUGUGGGAUUAAAAUUGGCCACCCUGAAAUGUGUCUCUUUGGCAUGAGGAUUGUUUUGGGCUGGUUGCUUUUAAGAACCUGCAGACAGGGGACAAGAAGAAGUUACCCUUUGUAAGAGGCAUUUACAUUUGUAAGGGGAAUCUCCAUUUGUAAAAAUAUCUCCCUCUCU
rnacentral:lncRNA from 1 species